rnacentral:SRP_RNA from 1 species
CCAUACUAUCCGGGGCAGUAGCGGAGCCCUGUACCUGAAAUCCGCUAUAGCAGGGGCGAAUUCCUUGUUUGAGGGAUGAUCUUGGUGUGAUUUCUGCGCUUUUCCCUGUGUUGAGAAGUGGGUCUUGCGCAAUCGGGAGCUGUGAACCAUGUCAGGUGGGGAACCAAGCAGCAUUAAGCAGUGUACCCGGUGUGCCGCGAGGUCGCCUGCUUUGAGCAGAGAGAGGCGCGUGAGCCGCCUGUGAUUCUCGAUCUUAAGGUGUAUGG